UGUCCUUAGUCCACACCGAUAGCUUUCGCCAGACACCUAUAUGCGCCCACAGCACUCAAAAGGUUGUUCGCGAACGAAAGGGAAUCGUCUCGAGAAAGAAAAAUCGCUUAUAAGUAUUUGAGCACAUCGAAUUUUCAACGGUCGUGAGAAUUUGCCUAAAUCAAGAUGAGAAGCCCGAAUGUGAAUGUGAAGGCAAACUAUGGCGAGCUUCAAACCGUCAUAGAGGAAAGCACAUCGGGCGAAGAGGAAGAGGAAGGGCGAAGGAACGAGUCGCCUCCGCGUUGCAUGGAUCCCGAUUCGACACCCUUAAAUCCUCAUCUAUUGUCUCCCUGGCAAGAGGUCAGGAAACGCUCUCUACCGACUCCGCAAUGUACUUCCGGGAUAACCGCAUCACAGGUACUGUCUGAUGGUCAUAUCUAGAAGAACAUACUUGCUUACGGGCCACAUCCCCUUUCUUGAUAAUGUACUUUUAGUGUAUCCUGUUAGCUUAACAAAACAUAACGUUGUCCAACGUUUGCAUAUGUUGGGAAUAUGAUACAUUUACACUGUACAUGUGAAUGUGUGUGUAAGCGUCAGAGGACGUCCGGGUCUUGGUUGAGACAAAAGACAAGAGCCAGUCGUUAG